AGGUUAUCCUGAACUCUUCAGCCAAAUCACUUCAUGGGUUAAUAUGCAUAAGGAACCUGGAAGAACUUCAUAUCCAGUACCUCUUCCUUUGGAUUGAGAAUCAGCAUAAGCACCUGUCAUGUGCCUGGAACUACAGAAAGUGUUGACAAGUGCCAUCUACUAAGGCAGAACAUACUCGAAUGGUGUUUACAGAUUAUAAAUCAUAACUAAAAAGUGCUCGAGGGUGAAGCUUCAUGAGUCCAAAAUGCCCAGCAGAAACACCUUCCGACAUCAGUUUGCCAACACUGAAUCUGCAAAGCACCAUAGCCACACAGAACAUACCACCCGUGCAACUGCCACAUGUGCUCGUCUGAGAUCAGGAAAAGCAAGCACCUGAAAGAGCUGAGUCUGUAUUUAAUACCAAGACUUACAGAUGAUAGAUUCUUCUGUCUCACUCUUGGAAGAGACUACACUACUCUCUACUGCACCUAAAGGCUUUCACAUUACUGUAAGAUGGACAGUAAAUAAGCCUAGUGAACAUCAUUUGAACAUGGUGUUCCGAAUUCCGCCACCCUCUUUCCAGGCUGAUGGAUGCUCUUUAAAUCAGAGGAUAUAAUGGGUGCAGCGGAAGUGGCACACUAUGUCAGAAGAAAUACUCUCUUCUCAUAAUGCUGUCAGAAACUGAUGCCCAGUGAAGGAGGCAGCACUGAUUUCAGCAAGUUAGAAAGU